rnacentral:rRNA from 1 species
GACGAACGCUGGCGGCGUGCUUAACACAUGCAAGUCGAACGAUGAAGCCGGAGCUUGCUCUGGUGAAUUAGUGGCGAACGGGUGAGUAACACGUGAGUAACCUGCCCUUGACUCUGGGAUAACUGCUAGAAAUGGUAGCUAAUACCGGAUACGACCCUCGGAGGCAUCUCCAGGGGGUGGAAAGAAUUUCGGUCAAGGAUGGACUCGCGGCCUAUCAGCUAGUUGGUGAGGUAACGGCUCACCAAGGCGACGACGGGUAGCCGGCCUGAGAGGGUGACCGGCCACACUGGGACUGAGACACGGCCCAGACUCCUACGGGAGGCAGCAGUGGGGAAUAUUGCACAAUGGGCGCAAGCCUGAUGCAGCGACGCCGCGUGAGGGAUGACGGCCUUCGGGUUGUAAACCUCUUUCAGCUCCGACGAAGCGCAAGUGACGGUAGGUGCAGAAGAAGGACCGGCCAACUACGUGCCAGCAGCAGCCGCAG